rfam:Oryza sativa Japonica Group DNA, chromosome 2, cultivar: Nipponbare, complete sequence.
UUUAAGUGAAAUUAUAGUUUCUGUAUCUAAUUUUAAUCGUUCGUCUUAUUUAAUUUUUUUAUAAUUCGUAUUUUUUUAUUAUGAGAUCAUAAAACAUGAGUAGUAUUUUACUCGUGACUUAUAUUUUUAAAUUUUUUUAAAUAAGACGGACGAUCAAAGUUGAACGCGAAAUUUAAAAAGGGACGGAGG